rnacentral:tRNA from 1 species
UCCCGCCUGGCACAAUUGGCUAGCGCGUGAGACUUUUACGUACCAAAGUACUAUCUCAAGGUUGAGAGUUCGAACCUCUCGGUGGGAG